CAUAUUCAGAUCUUCAUAAAUGUGAUUCACAUUUGCGUAAAAGGGGUCAUUGAUAAACGAUUAGAAUAAAUCGAGGAUAGAAAUAUGAUAAGCUUAUCCACUGUUGCUCAGUUUGAUCCAGACCUUUACGUUCGAAGGUUUGAAAUUGGUGUAAGUCAUCAUGACGAAGAUUAUGACAAUCUGUAUUCUACUGUGCGCGAUUCACCAGUCAACGCAAAUACCCAGGAUUUGGGGAGAUUGUCGCAAUUCAACAGAUUUUCUGCAACCGUACUUAACCGGCUGCUAUGAUAUACGAUGCCAUGGAACACGUCGGGCUUCUGUGACACCUUGCACUCAGGUUGCGCCCACUUGCGGACCCCACAAGAACUUCGUUGUGAUGAGAUUUGAUGAUGAUGAAGAAUACCCCAAAUGUUGUGUAGAAAUCAUUUGUGAAUGACUGUAAAAAUUUAGUUUUGAAUAAAGCAGUUGAUUUUUGAAGCCACCAA